rnacentral:rRNA from 1 species
UACGUAGGGUGCGAGCGUUGUCCGGAAUUAUUGGGCGUAAAGAGCUCGUAGGCGGUGUGUCACGUCGGCCGUGAAAACCUGGGGGCUUAACUCUGGGCGUGCGGUCGAUACGGGCAUCACUAGAGUUCGGCAGGGGAGACUGGAAUUCCUGGUGUAGCGGUGAAAUGCGCAGAUAUCAGGAGGAACACCGGUGGUGUAAACGGCUUUCUGGACCAUAACUGACGCUGGAUGCACGAAAGCCGUGGGUAGCAAACAGG